UCCAUCGAGCGCGGCUUCGAAGGCAUGUAGCCGAGGGUGGUUGGGGACAACGCGCCCCCUCACCCUUCCAUUGGCUGGGCGAAGUCCCUAUAUUGGAUCUGUCCGGCUUCGGCCGAACUAUGGGGAUAAACGCGCACGUAAUAAGCGGACUGGACCCGGGUGCGAUUCCCGGCGGCUCCACCAAAUCUCUCCCGCGUUAUCACGGGACUGCAUGGGGCCGAUCAGCAUCGACAGACGUGUAAAGGUGUCUGCUUUCUCUCGGCUUGGCCCACCGUUUCGGGCC
rnacentral:tmRNA from 1 species